UUCACAAGGGGAAACCAAGUGGUGGAUGGA
rnacentral:piRNA from 1 species